rnacentral:rRNA from 1 species
GGGGCAAGCGUUGUCCGGAAUUAUUGGGCGUAAAGGGCGCGCAGGCGGGAUGAUCAGUCUGAGGUGAAAUCUUUUGGCUUAACCGAAAGCUUGCCUUGGAUACUGUCAUUCUUGAGUUCGGAAGAGGGAAGUGGAAUUCCUGGUGUAGCGGUGAAAUGCGUAGAUAUCAGGAAGAACACCGGUGGCGAAGGCGGCUUCCUGGUCCGAUACUGACGCUGAGGCGCGAAAGCGUGGGGAGCGAACAGGAUUAGAUACCCUGGUAGUCCACGCUGUAAACGAUGGGUACUAGGUGUUGGUCCUUUUUAGGAUCAGCGCCGCAGCUAACGCAUUAAGUACCCCGCCUGGGGAAUACGACCGCAAGGUUGAAACUCAAAGGAAUUGACGGGGGCCCGCACAAGCGGUGGAGCAUGUGGUUUAAUUCGAUGCAACGCGAAGAACCUUACCUGGGCUUGAACCGUAGUCGAAAACCCCUGAAAAGGGGUCCUCCUUCGGGACGGCUAUAGAGGUGCUGCAUGGCUGUCGUCAGCUCGUGCCGUGAGGCGUUGGGUUAAGUCCCGCAACGAGCGCAACCCUUGCCCUUAGUUGCCAUCAGGUUAUGCUGGGAACUCUAAGGGGACUGCCCCGGAUAACGGGGAGGAAGGUGGGGAUGACGUCAAGUCCUCAUGGCCCUUACGUCCAGGGCUACACACGUGCUACGAUGGCCGGUACGAUGGGCGGCGAUACCGCAAGGUGGAGCAAAUCCUUAAAACCGGUCUCA